rnacentral:rRNA from 1 species
UACAGAGGGUGCGAGCGUUAAUCGGAAUGACUGGGCGUAAAGGGUGCGUAGGUGGUUAUUUAAGUUAGUUGUGAAAGCCCUGGGCUCAACCUGGGAAUUGCAACUAAAACUGAGUAGCUAGAGUAGGUGAGAGGAGUGUGGAAUUUCCGGUGUAGCGGUGAAAUGCGUAGAGAUCGGAAAGAACACCAGUGGCGAAGGCGGCACUCUGGCACCAUACUGACACUGAGGCACGAAGGCGUGGGGAGCAAAC